rnacentral:rRNA from 1 species
AUUGAACGCUGGCGGCAGGCUUAACACAUGCAAGUCGAGCGAGCGGCGGACGGGUGAGUAAUGUAUGGGGAUCUGUCCGAUAGAGGGGGAUAACUACUGGAAACGGUAGCUAAUACCGCAUACUAUCGGAUGAACCCAUAUGGGAUUAGCUAGUAGGUGGGGUAAUGGCUCACCUAGGCGACGAUCCCUAGCUGGUCUGAGAGGAUGACCAGCCACACUGGAACGGAGACACGGUCCAGACUCCUACGGGAGGCAGCAGUGGGGAAUAUUGCACAAGGGGCGCAAGCCUGAUGCAGCCAUGCCGCGUGUGUGAAGAAGGCCUUCGGGUUGUAAAGCACUUUCAGCGGGGAGGCGUUACCGGCAGAAGAAGCACCGGCUAACUCCGUGCCAGCAGCCGCGGUAAUUC